UUAAUAAACAAUGUAGAUAUGCAUGAAGGGAUAUUGGACCUUCCCUGGACCAGUGAUGAUCCUGCUGUGUGUGGGUGUUGCAUGGUGAAUAAUCCAUGAGUCCACAUAGUGGGCAGGUGGGUGAGCUCUGUGGAGGAAUGCAUCGUGUUUCAUCUUCUACUCUGCUUGUUCUCCUCAGAACCAUGCUCCCCAGGACAUGGAUGUGUUCUUCCAAGGUUGCCAGCCACAGUGUCAUGUGGUGGAGCCUGGGACAGAUGUGAGUAGUGGUGAGAGAGAUUUUGUGGUUUAGGGGAUUUGUUUAAGCUUAUUUACUGCACUAUGAUAGUGUGGAAUAUGGUUACCUUAGGCCACAUGUAAUAAUGACAAAUGCAGAAUUAAUAAAAAGUAGGGUGUGAAACCUGAUAUUAAUUCCUGAAGGAGACAUAUUGCUAAGUGAUGAUUAUUGACAUAGAUGAGAGGCAUCGAGGCCUUUCUGAGCAUUUAGCAAUACUAGGCUUUCAAUUACACGAAUGAUGAAGCCACCGAACUGUGGGGAAGGGAAGUUCAGAGCGGACCGGGGCUGGAUUAAUGAUGACCACCUGUGGGGUAUGAGUCAGAGGCGAUGAAUACCUGUCCUGGAACUCUGAGAUCCAGCCCAGGAGACCUGGUCGUGCUUGAUGUUCACAUGUUUCUUGUUAUUCUCCAAUGAAUUCCUAAAACUGGUGAAUUGAUAAAUGAAGAAAUCAAUGACUAUUGAAUGGGCAAGAGAUUGUCCAUUUAUAAAAAUAUGCAAGGAUGCGAGAAAUUCUAUUAACAUGCGUUGAAAACACUGAAAUACAGAGUGCAUGGGUGGAGCCCUUUGGCUUAAAUCAUGCAUUUCAUGUAAAGGCCCACACUGAUAUGCUCUGCGGGCAAGGUCACAUGCAGGACACGGGCAAGGACAGUGACAUAAAAAGUCCCUUGAAAUGAAAGAUGAUGAGAGAUAAUGAGGCAAAAGUCAAGGAAGAAAGUGUGGUUUGUGUCCUCUGCUCUGCUCUGUGCUCCUCAGAAUGGAGGCUCCCGGAGGCCCCAGUCCCACCCUGCUCAGCAGCCCAUUGCUGUUCCCUGGAUUAUACCUUGGACAAUGGGAGCACUGGGCCGGGGUAAGAAUCCGCUUUGUAUGAGGAGAGGGAGCAUUGCGAGUCACCGCCGGAAAUUAUCUUCCUUUGGUACCUGAUGAAAGAUAUUCACAAUAUUAUUAGAACUUAUUUAGUUAAGUAUUUAUUUCCAUAUUUUUAAAAUACACUAAAAAUGAAACAUUGACUGAUGGUUUUAGCAGCAAAUUGGAAGCACAAAAGAAGAGAGCUUGGAACUAAAUCACUAGAUAUUUUCUUUAUUUUGUUUUAUUUUAUCUGAUUCAGGAAAUCAUCAAAAGCAUCCAUAUAAUGGGAUACCUGUGAUGCUUUGACACAUGUAUAUAUCAUGUAGGAUUAAUCGGGAUAAAUGUCAGCUUCCCCAUCAGCUAGCAUUUCUGCAUGAUUCAAACAUCUAGUGUUUCUUUCAUUUGGUUUUUGAGGGAUACAGAACAUGGAAUUUCUGAAUUCGAGCUGUCUCUUCUUACCAGUUGGUUGACCUGCCCCCAUCUUUCCCUCCGCUCUCCUCUCCCUUGCAUCUGGUAGCUCCCAUUUCCUACCCCCUUCCAGGAGAUCAGCUUUUAUAUUUCAUGUGUGUGAGAAAUCAUCCUGUGCUUUUCUUUCUCUUCACGGUUUAUUUCACUUAACGUAAUUGUGUCCAAGUCUAUUGAUGUUUUGUAAAUUGCAAGAUUUUAUUCUCUUUUUAUGCCUGAAAAUUUUCAAACAGGCAUAAUACCUAUAAUAGCUGCCCAGAAUAAAUUAGCAACUCAAAGAAAUAAAUAGCAAAAUAAUAAUAAUAAUAAUAAGUAGAAUAAAAAUAUUGGCAACAGAUCUAAACAGAUAUUUCUUGAAAGAAGAUACAUAAAUGACAUGAAAAAAAAUGUUCUGUGUCAUUAAUCACCAGGGAAACCACCUGAGAGGUCAGCUCACUCCAGUGAGGAUGGCUGUUACCAAGAAGACAAAAGACAGGCUCUGAGCAGCUUGUGCAGAAAGGCGACUCUUGCACACCGUCGGUGGGAAGAAUGCACGUUGCCCAGGGGACUUCUCCUUUUUCUAGUCCGGGUCACAUCUCUGCAUCAAACCUCGGGACCAAUAAUGGAGGCUCCAGGACGACCCCCCAUGAGGACCCCCAUAUUCCUCCCCGGUCACCAGCCCAUUGCUGCUUCUCUGGAUUAUACCUUGGACAAUGGUGAGUAAAUGUCAACCUUGUUGUUUGUGUUGUGGUUGCUUUUGAAAAGGUAUUUACUACCUUAUUAAAGCUAUUGAAUACUAUCAAAGAAGUCCAAACAUGUCAAUUUUAAUAUCAGAAUAAUAAAAACUUUAUAGUGAUGGUUCUAUAUAGAAACAGUGAGGACAGUAAAGAGGGGACUUUACCUUUGCCCAACAUAUGUAUAGACAGAUGUUAGGGUAUUAUCUGUAUUUUUCUUGUCCUUUGGGAUUUAUGGGCUCUCUGUGAUAGCAGUUCAGAUGGCAAUAGGAAGAAGCGGGCUAACACUGGACCGAUGAUGGCAUCUGGUGUCCUGUGAGUCAUGCAUGAUGGAGCAGCCUGUGUCCAACAUGAAGGGAAUUCUGUCCAUUUCUGCUUUUCCAUUGGGACAUCGUGGACAGAUGUCCAGAUAGGCAAAGAUUUUUUUUUGUUAUUUGUAUCCAUCAAUUUAAAAAUGUUAAAGUAAAAGAAUAAAGUGUAGAAUUAACAGAGGUUAAGAAGGGGAAAGAUUGUUCAUUAUAAAGGUUAUAUAUUGUGCUAAGGAUGACAUCGACAGUGAUAGAUUCUUUUUUUUUGGUACUGGAUAUCAAACUCGGGACCUUGUGCUUGCGAGGCAGGUGCCGGAACCACUG